GGAUGUGAGGGAGAUCUGGCUGUGAAAUCUGUCAUCCCACUGAUUGCUAGGGUUGAUCCAGUUGAUCUGGCUUAUUAGGCGAGUGUUCCCCGCCUCACUCACUGCUCUAUGUGCAUCCUUCCCAAGGCCGCUCACUCAGUUAGAGAGGAUGGGCAUCCCCACUGAAGGAGGCCCAUUCUUCAGUAUUGGGUAUCCAAGUAGUUGUGCUCUCCUGCUAGAACCUCCAAACAAGCUAUCUCAAGAAAUCCAACUGCUCCAAGAACACCUUGCUGGAGAGGUCAUGGGUAGGGCUCAGGUCGACAGUCCCAGCUGAGCCCAGCCUUCUC
ensembl:misc_RNA 7SK 7SK RNA